rnacentral:lncRNA from 1 species
AGAAACAUGUUGAAGAAGGUGGUAAGCACAUUAAAGUUAGUGAGUUGUAGUCAAUUAGUAUAUCUUAACUUUAGAUAUUUGAGUUAAACCGAAAAAGGUAGAUUUAUUUUCAAACCACCAUAUUCUGAUAACUUAAUGAACCAGAUCUAACUAUCAAGAAGACAUGAAAAUAACAUAACUAUCAAGAAGUCAAGAUUUCUUGGCAACUGAGGUUUUCACUUGAUUCGUCUCAUAUUAUAAAUGAAUGUGGUAAUAUUACUACUCUAAUUAUACGAAUGUUACAAGUAUCUAUUAGAUAUUGUUGUUCUUCUAUGAUUGUUGUCUGAAAAGGAAGUACCAAUAAUAGUACUUUCGUUUAAGGCUUGACCUUAAGGUAAACCAAGUUUGAGCUCCAGUCAACAUAUGACUGCUAUUAACUUAAGCUUUAAGCUUUCUGGGGCUCAAAGCCAAACAUUUCAUGAGAAAUUAAGUUUUCCUUUUCUAUGUCCUAUAUGAAGAAUUAAGAUACUACCAGACCAUAUAUAAAAGAAAAUGGUAAAUGCUCUCGGCGCAUUUUAAGCAAUAAAACAGUAACCAGUUUCGGCGCACAAUAGCAAGGUGCGAUUUCCGCCGGAAAUGGCCAGACGCCGGCGACCUGCUGUUCCGACUACCACAAUAGCACCUCCUCAACUCGUCACGCCUGCUCACGGUGUUACUACGACGCUUGAACCCCUGACGUUUGGAAAUUUCCUCCCUCAAAAAUACCAAUCGCUAGUGAUU